GUAGGGAAUAUUGGUCAAUGGGUGGAAGCCUGAACCAGCCAUGCCGCGUGCAGGAAGACGGCCUUCUGGGUUGUAAACUGCUUUUAUCUGGGGAUAAAAUACCCUUGCGAGGGAGACUGAAGGUACCAGAUGAAUAAGCCACGGCUAACUACGUGCCAGCAGCCGCGGUAAUACGUAGGUGGCAAGCGUUGUCCGGAUUCAUUGGGUUUAAAGGGUGCGUAGGCGGCCAUUUAAGUCAGUGCUGAAAUAUCACAGCUUAACUGUGAGGGUGGCAUUGAUACUGGAUGGCUUGAGUGCUAGCGAGGCAGGCGGAAUUGACGGUGUAGCGGUGAAAUGCAUAGAUAUCGUCAAGAACACCGAUAGUGUAGACAGCUUGCCAGGGAGCAACUGACGCUGAGGCACGAAAGUGUGGGGAUCAAACAGGAUUAGAAACCCCAGUAGUCC
rnacentral:rRNA from 1 species